CCACCGUGAACAAGCCUUUGCCCUCCCUCCGUCGAAGCUUCCCAAGCAGUUGCUGGGGGAGAGUGUGAUUGCCCCGCAUGAGGUUGCUGAGCCACAAGUUAAUAGACUCUGCAUGGAGGCUGAAGAAUUCAUCAAUAUGGGAAAGUGGUUGGAGCUAGCUUAAUUGAUCCAUUACUUGAAGUCUGAGACAACUCCUUGUCCAUCAAUUCCACUCACGCAGUUCAUCGCAGGCAUCUCCAAAGUCACAACCUCAUCAUUGUUGGAUCCAACAAAGCGAGCAACAGAACAGUCAGGGGUGAACAAGCUGG